AUUGAACGCUGGCGGCAUGCUUUACACAUGCAAGUCGAACGGUAACAGGCCGCAAGGUGCUGACGAGUGGCGAACGGGUGAGUAAUGCAUCGGAACGUGCCCAGUCGUGGGGGAUAACGCAGCGAAAGCUGCGCUAAUACCGCAUACGAUCUAGGGAUGCAAGCGGGGGACCGUAAGGCCUCGCGCGAUUGGAGCGGCCGAUGUCAGAUUAGGUAGUUGGUGGGGGAAAGGCUAACCAAGCCAACGAUCCGUAGCUGGUCUGAGAGGACGAGCAGCCGCACUGGGACUGAGAAACGGAACAGAAUCCUACGGGAGGCAGCAGUGGGGAAUUUUGGACAAUGGGCGCAAGCCUGAUCCAGCAAUGCCGCGUGCAGGAAGAAGGCCUUCGUGUUGUAAACUGCUUUUGUACGGAACGCAACGGUCCUGAUUAAUACCUGGGGCUAUGACGGUACCGUAAGAAUAAGCUCCGGCUAACUACGUGCCAGCCGCCGCAGUAACAC
rnacentral:rRNA from 1 species